UACGUAGGUGGCAAGCGUUAUCCGGAAUUAUUGGGCGUAAAGAGCGCGCAGGCGGUUGAUUAAGUCUGAUGUGAAAGCCCACGGCUUAACCGUGGAGGGUCAUUGGAAACUGGUCAACUUGAGUGCAGAAGAGGGAAGUGGAAUUCCAUGUGUAGCGGUGAAAUGCGUAGAUAUUGGGAAGAACACCGGUGGCGAAGGCGGCCAUCUGGACCGCAACUGACGCUGAGGCGCGAAAGCGUGGGGAGCAAACAGG
rnacentral:rRNA from 1 species